UUGGAGGGCAAGUCUGGUGCCAGCAGCCGCGGUAAUUCCAGCUCCAAUAGCGUAUAUUAAAGUUGUUGCAGUUAAAAAGCUCGUAGUUGAAUUUCGGGGUUCAUCCGUUGGUCGGGCCUUUUGGUCUGUACUGGCGUGAUGGAUUCCUACCUUCUGAAUAACCGGCAUGUCAUUAAUUUGGUGCGCCGGGGAAGCAGGACUGUUACCUUGAAAAAAUUAGAGUGCUUAAAGCAGGCUAUCGCCUGAAUACAUUAGCACGGAAUAAUGAAAUAGGACGGCAUGGUUCUAUUUUGUUGGUUUCUAGGAUCACCGUAAUGAUUAAUAGGGGUAGUUGGGGGCAUUAGUAUUCAAUUGUCAGAGGUGAAAUUCUUGGAUUUAUUGAAGACUAACUUCUGCGAAAGCAUUUGCCAAGGAUGUUUUCAUUAAUCAAGAACGAAAGUUAGGGGAUCGAAGACGAUCAGAUACCGUCGCAGUCUUAACCAUAAACUAUGCCGACUAGGGAUCGGACGAUGUUAAUUUUUUAAUGACUCGUUCGGCGCCUUACGGGAAAC
rnacentral:rRNA from 1 species